rnacentral:rRNA from 1 species
AGAGUUUGAUCCUGGCUCAGGACGAACGCUGGCGGCGUGGAUAAGGCAUGCAAGUCGUACGGGAUGGAGAUACAAGCAAUUGUUUCUCCUGAGAGUGGCGAACGGGUGAGUAACACGUGGAUGACAUACCUCCUGGUGGGGGAUAACCCAGGGAAACCUGGGCUAAUACCGCAUGAGGUCAGGUUGCUGCGAGCUUCCUGAUCAAAGGUGGGGACCUUCGGGCCUACCGCCGGGAGAUUGGUCCGCGGCCCAUUAGCUUGUUGGCGGGGUAACGGCCCACCAAGGCGACGAUGGGUAGCCGGCCUGAGAGGGUGUCCGGCCACACUGGGAUUGAGAUACGGCCCAGACUCCUUCGGGAGGCAGCAGUCGAGGAUCUUCCCCAAUGGGCGAAAGCCUGAGGGAGCGACGCCGCGUGAGGGAUGAAGGCCCUUCGGGUUGUAAACCUCUGUUAGGGGGAAAGAAUAGCAGUGGGAAUAAUACGCCCGCUGUCUGACGUUACCCCCAGAGAAAGCUCCGGCCAACUCCGUGCCAGCAGCCGCGGUAAUACGGGGGGAGCAAGCGUUGUCCGGAAUCAUUGGGCGUAAAGGGCGUGUAGGCGGUUUGGUAAGUCGAAUGUGAAAUCCCACGGCUCAACCGUGGAACUGCGUUCGAAACUGCCUUACUUGAGUGCGGGAGAGGUGUGCGGAAUUCCUGGUGUAGCGGUGGAAUGCGUAGAUAUCAGGAAGAACACCGGUGGCGAAGGCGGCACACUGGCCCAGCACUGACGCUGAGGCGCGAAAGCGUGGGGAGCGAACGGGAUUAGAUACCCCGGUAGUCCACGCUGUAAACGUUGGGCACUAGGUAUCGGAGGUCUCAACCCCUUCGGUGCCGCAGCUAACGCGUUAAGUGCCCCGCCUGGGGAGUACGGUCGC